AUGAAGCUGGAGGUGUUCGGGCCCCGCGCGGGUCUCGCGGACAAGCCGGGGAGUGACCUGGAGGGUGCGGGCGGCAGCGACGCGCCGUCUCCGCUGUCGGCCGCGGGCGACGACUCCCUGGGCUCGGACGGGGACUGCGCGGCCAACAGCCCGGCGGCAGGCAGCGGCGAGCGGAGCGCGGGCGGCGGGCCGGGCGCCGAGGCGGCGGGCGCGGCGGGGGCGGCGGCGGGGCCCAGAGCCGGGGGCGCAGGCUCGGGGGGCGCGGGCGGCGGCGAGGGCGCGCGCGGCAAGCCCUACACCCGGCGGCCCAAGCCCCCGUAUUCGUACAUCGCGCUCAUCGCAAUGGCCAUCCGCGACUCGGCGGGCGGGCGCCUGACGCUGGCCGAGAUCAACGAGUACCUCAUGGGCAGGUUCCCGUUCUUCCGCGGCAGCUACACCGGCUGGCGCAACUCCGUGCGCCACAACCUCUCGCUCAACGACUGCUUCGUCAAGGUGCUUCGCGACCCCUCGCGGCCCUGGGGCAAGGACAACUACUGGAUGCUGAACCCCAACAGCGAGUACACCUUCGCCGACGGCGUCUUCCGCCGCCGCCGCAAGCGCCUCAGCCACCGGGCAGCGGCCCCCGGCCCCGCGCUCCGGCCCGCGGACGGCGCGCCUCCGCCGCCCGCGCCCGCCGCCCCGGCCCCGGCUCCGCCCCGCGCGCGCUCGCCCGCCCGCCCAGAGGGGCGCGCCAGCCCGGCGGGCAGGUUCUCCGGCCCCUUCGCCAUCGACAGUAUCCUCAGCAAGCCCUUCCGCAGCCGCUGCACCGGGGACAUGGGCCCCGGGGCGCGCCCUCCGUGGGGCGCGGCGCCUUGCCCGCCGCCGCCCGCCUACCCGGCGCUGCUCCAGGCCGCGCCCGCCGGGGCCCUGCUGCCGCUCUGCGCGUUUGGAGCGGCCGAGCCGCCGGGGCUGCUAGCGCGCGGGGCCGAGGCGCCGCCCCUCCUCCUCGCGCCCCUGGCCGCCCCGGCGCCGGCCAAGCCGCUCCGAGGCCCGGCCGCCGGUGCGCACCUGUACUGCCCCGUGCGGCUGCCCGACGCCCUGCUCGCGGCCUCGGCCCGCGCGCCCGGCCCGCACCUGCCUAGCCGGCCUGAGACGCUCCUGGCAUGA
rnacentral:lncRNA from 1 species